GAGAACGUCUUCUUCGGAAGGCUAGUAAAGCGGCGAACAGGUGAGUAACACGUGAGCGAUCUGCCCAGAGGUGGGGGAUAGCCCAGGGAAACCUGGAUUAAUACCGCAUACAGCGUCAGGCUUGGAUACCUGACGUGAAAGCUGGCCUCUUCUAUGCUAGCGCCUUUGGAUGAGCUCGCGGCCUAUCAGCUUGUUGGUGGGGUAAUGGCCUACCAAGGCGAUGACGGGUAGCUGACGUGAGAGCGUGAUCAGCCACAUUGGGACUGAGACACGGCCCAGACUCCUACGGGAGGCAGCAGUGGGGAAUAUUGCGCAAUGAGCGAAAGCUUGACGCAGCGACGCCGCGUGGGGGAGGAAGGCCUUAGGGUCGUAAACCCCUGUCAGAUGGGACGAACCGUAGAUUGGAUAAUAUCUGGUCUGCCUGACGGUACCAUCAGAGGAAGCUCCGGCUAACUCCGUGCCAGCAGCCGCGGUAAUACGGGGGGAGCAAGCGUUGUUCGGAAUUACUGGGCGUAAAGGGCGCGUAGGCGGCCUAGUAAGUCGAGUGUGAAAUGCCGGGGCUCAACUCCGUGCACUGCAUUCGAUACUGCCUGGCUAGAGAAAGGUAGAGGCGAGCGGAAUUCCCGGUGUAGCGGUGGAAUGCGUAGAUAUCGGGAAGAACACCUGUGGCGAAGGCGGCUCGCUGGGCCUUAUCUGACGCUGAAGCGCGAAAGCGUGGGGAGCAAACAGGAUUAGAUACUCUGGUAGUCCACGCCCUAAACGAUGCAUACUUGGUGUGAGCCAUUCAGUUGGUUCGUGCCG
rnacentral:rRNA from 1 species